GAUGCCCUUAGAUGUUCUGGGCCGCACGCGCGCUACACUGACAGGGCCAGCGAGUACAUCACCUUAACCGAGAGGUUUGGGUAAUCUUGUUAAACCCUGUCGUGCUGGGGAUAGAGCAUUGCAAUUAUUGCUCUUCAACGAGGAAUGCCUAGUAGGCACGAGUCAUCAGCUCGUGCCGAUUACGUCCCUGCCCUUUGUACACACCGCCCGUCGCUACUACCGAUUGAAUGGCUCGGCCCGUGCCCCCACCCC
rnacentral:rRNA from 1 species